AGCAGCCGCGGUAAUUCCAGCUCCAAUAGCGUAUAUUAAAGUUGUUGCAGUUAAAAAGCUCGUAGUUGAAUUUCGAGAUUGACACAUCGGUCGUGCCUUAAGGGGUAUGAACUGGUGUAGUCAAUUUCUCACCUUCUGGAGAACCGCGAUGUCCUUAAUUGGGUGCCGCGGGGAACCAGGACCUUUACUUUGAAAAAAUUAGAGUGUUUAAAGCAGGCAUUUUGCUUGAAUACAUUAGCAUGGAAUAAUAAAAUAGGACGGAUGAUUCUAUUUUGUUGGUUUCUAGGACCACCGUAAUGAUUAAUAGGGAUAGGUUGGGGGCAUUAGUAUUCAAUUGUCAGAGGUGAAAUUCUUGGAUUUAUUGAAGACUAACUACUGCGAAAGCAUUUGCCAAGGAUGUUUUCAUUAAUCAAGAACGAAGUUAGGGAUCGAAGACGAUCAGAUACCGUCGUAGUCUUAACCAUAAACUAUAGCCGACUAGGGAUCGGAUGAUGUUAAUUUUUAUGUACUUCAUUCGGCG
rnacentral:rRNA from 1 species